UACGGAGGAUGCGAGCGUUAUCCGGAUUUAUUGGGUUUAAAGGGUGCGUAGGCGGGCUUUUAAGUCAGCGGUAAAAAUUCGGGGCUCAACCCCGUCCGGCCGUUGAAACUGGGGGUCUUGAGUGGGCGAGAAGAAGGCGGAAUGCGUGGUGUAGCGGUGAAAUGCAUAGAUAUCACGCAGAACCCCGAUUGCGAAGGCAGCCUUCCGGCGCCCUACUGACGCUGAGGCACGAAAGCGUGGGGAGCAAACAGG
rnacentral:rRNA from 1 species